rnacentral:misc_RNA from 1 species
GCGGUCGAGGUGCGGGUCGAGCUCGUAGAGGUGGCCGUCGAGGAUCAUGGCGGUGUCGAACACGCCGUGGCCGCGGUGGACCAUGUGGUCGUCGAGCGGGACGGACAUCAUCGCCGGGUCCAGGAUGAUGCCGCCGAGCACGCUCGAGUACAUCGCCGGGAACGGCGCCGCCGUCGACUUCCAUUUCUCCUGCAGCUUCUGGACGAUCUCUGCUCCAG